rnacentral:rRNA from 1 species
UCGAGGAUCUUCGGCAAUGGGCGAAAGCCUGACCGAGCGACGCCGCGUGUGCGAUGAAGGCCUUCGGGUUGUAAAGCACUGUCGUGGGGGAGAAAGCCCGCAAGGGUUGAUCGACCCCAGGAGGAAGCACGGGCUAAGUUCGUGCCAGCAGCCGCGGUAAGACGAACCGUGCGAACGUUAUUCGGAAUCACUGGGCUUAAAGGGCGCGUAGGCGGGCGGCCAAGUCAGGGGUGAAAGCCCCCAGCUCAACUGGGGAAGUGCCUCUGAUACUGGCCGUCUCGAGGGAGGUAGGGGCGUGCGGAACUUCCGGUGGAGCGGUGAAAUGCGUAGAUAUCGGAAGGAACACCGGUGGCGAAAGCGGCGCGCUGGACCUCUUCUGACGCUGAGGCGCGAAAGCCAGGGGAGCAAACG